rnacentral:rRNA from 1 species
UACGGAAGGCAGCAGUGGGGAAUAUUGGACAAUGGGCGAAAGCCUGAUCCAGCCAUGCCGCAUGAGUGAAGAAGGCCUUCGGGUUGUAAAGCUCUUUAGUGAGAAAGAUAAUGACGGUACUCACAGAAGAAGUCCUGGCUAACUCCGUGCCAGCAGCCGCGGUAAUACGGAGAGGGCUAGCGUUAUUCGGAAUUAUUGGGCGUAAAGAGCGCGUAGGCUGAUUAGUAAGUUAAAAGUGAAAUCCCAAAGCUUAACUUUGGAAUUGCUUUUUAAAACUGCUAGUCUAGAGAUUUGAAAGAGGAUAGAGGAAUUCCUAGUGUAGAGGUGAAAUUCGUAAAUAUUAGGAGGAACACCAGUGGCGAAGGCGUCUAUCUGGUUCAAAUCUGACGCUGAGGCGCGAAGGGCGUGGGGAGCGAAACAGGGAUUAGAUACC